rnacentral:tRNA from 1 species
GCUCCCAUCGUCUAGCGGUCAGGACGCCGCCCUCUCACGGCGGAAACACGGGUUCGAUUCCCGUUGGGAGUACCA